GGCUUAGAAGCAGCCAUGCAUUCAAAGAGUGCGUAACAGCUCACUGGUCGAGUGGACAUGCGCCGACAAUUCACGGGGCUAAGCGAUGCACCGAAGCGGCGGACUGAGAAUUCAGUGGUAGGGGAGCUCUCCGCGGGGGGCGAAGCAGCAGGGCGACCUGCUGUGGACCGCGCGGAGGUGAGAAUGCUGGCAUGAGUAACGAGACCAGGGCGAGAAACCCUGGCGCCGUGAGCCUAAGGGUUCCUGGGCGAGGCUAAUCCCCCCAGGGUCAGUCGGGAGCUAAGGCGAGGCCGAGAGGCGUAGCCGAUGCGCAGCGGGCAGACAUUCCCGCACCGCCGACGGCGCGGCAUUACCGAUGGGGCGACGGAGAAGGGUAGCCGGGCGGGGUUCUGGACGUCCCCGUGAAAGCGCGUAGGGCGCGCAGCGUGGAAAUCAGCUGCGCACGGGGCCUGAGACGCGAGACGAAGCGAGCGAGCGAAGCCGGUGAGCCCAUGCUUCCGAGAAAAACCUCUAGGGAGUGCCGUCGGCGCCCGUACCAAAACCGACACAGGUGGGCGGGUAGAACAUACCGAGGCGAUCGGGAGAACCACGGUUAAGGAACUCGGCAUACUGGCCCCGUAACUUCGGGAGAAGGGGCGCCGCCGGCUGUGAACGCCCUCGCGGCGGGAGCGGCUGGCGGCCGCAGCGAAACGGCCCAAGCGACUGUUUAUCAAAAACACAGGACUCUGCAAAGCGGUAACGCGACGUAUAGGGUCUGACGCCUGCCCGGUGCCGGAAGGUUACGCGGAUGCGUCAGCCGAAAGGCGAAGCGCUGAAGCCAAGCCCCGGUAAACGGCGGCCGUAACUAUAACGGUCCUAAGGUAGCGAAAUUCCUUGUCGGGUAAGUUCCGACCUGCACGAAUGGCGUAACGAUUUGGGCGCUGUCUCAACCGUGGACCCGGUGAAAUUGUACUGUUCGUGAAGAUGCGAACUACCCGCGGAAGGACGGAAAGACCCCGUGAACCUUUACUGCAGCUUGGCAUUGGCAUCUGGUACGGCGCGUAGAGGAUAGGCGGGAGCCUUUGAAGCGGGGGCGCAAGCCCCCGUGGAGGCGACCUUGGAAUACCGCCCUCGUCGUGCCGGCUGCCUAACGCGCGGCCGUGAUCCGGCGCGCGGACCGUGCCAGGCGGGUAGUUUGACUGGGGCGGUCGCCUCCCAAAACGUAACGGAGGCGCGCGAAAGGUCCGCUCAGGACGGUCGGCAACCGUCCCGAGAGCGCAAGAGUGCAAGCGGGCUUGACUGCGAGAGAGACACCUCGAGCAGGGACGAAAGUCGGUUCUAGUGAUCCGGCGGCACAGAGUGGAAUGGCCGUCGCUCAACGGAUAAAAGGUACUCCGGGGAUAACAGGCUGAUCUUGCCCAAGAGUCCACAUCGACGGCAAGGUUUGGCACCUCGAUGUCGGCUCAUCGCAUCCUGGGGCUGGAGCAGGUCCCAAGGGUACGGCUGUUCGCCGUUUAAAGCGGUACGCGAGCUGGGUUCAGAACGUCGUGAGACAGUUCGGUCCCUAUCCUCCGCGGGCGCAAGGGAGUUGAGGAGAUCUGCCCCUAGUACGAGAGGACCGGGGUGGACGGACCUCUGGUGACGCGGUUGUCGACCAACGGCACCGCCGCCUAGCUACGUCCGGCACGGAUAACCGCUGAAGGCAUCUAAGUGGGAAGCCGCCUCCGAGAUGAGCUCCCUUUCCGGUAAGGGCCCAGAUAGACUAUCUGGUCGAUAGGGCGCAGCUGCAAGCAGGGCGACCUGCUCAGGCGAGCGCUACUAAUAGCCCGAGCUCUUCUUCAU
rnacentral:rRNA from 1 species